ensembl:lncRNA LINC01777 long intergenic non-protein coding RNA 1777
AACCAGCGCAAUGUACUUAGGAGGUCAUGCGCCGGUUAAACUCUGCCAUUAUGCCUCUUACUGGGCAUGCUUGAGCCCACGGGCCCAACUCCUGAGAUCCCAUUCGGAAGCUGCUGAUCACCAGUUUCAAGUGUUUCUGUUUAUUGGGAGACUGCCUUCCUCUGGCACUGGCAGUGACCAAUUAUUAUUUUAGAGAGACUGUUAACGGCCUGACCAUCACCUGAUGAAUAUCAGGAAUGUGGCCUGACAUUCCUGGUGUGUGUGGUGUGGGGUACGAGGGGAGCUCUCUCCUACGCUGCUCAUGUCUGACUAGUUGGAUUCUGCAGAGUGGAAGUGGGAAACUCCUUCUGACCCUGGCCACCUGUCUCCAUGUGAAGGCAGAUCCAUUUGAGUGACAGUCCGAGGCAAUACCUCAACUGCCUCUCACUUCCCAAGACAAAUAAACCCACUUGACCUUGAUGUGCUUUUUGUGAAUACAUUGUGAGAUUGGACUUUCGGAUAUUUUAUUUAGAAUUUCUGCGUCUAUAUUCUUUGGGAGGUACACGGAGCGCCUUCUUUUCGUUUAGAGCAUUGGUGUCUCCACAUUAGAAGCAUCCUAUGUAGCUGUUCUGCUUGCAGCUGCCCAAGUCUGCCUGGGCCUCCUGCAUGAGGUCAUGAGUCUUAAUAAAGCCACUGACCCACACAUUUGGAAUCGUACUGACUUUUCACAACUAACAGCCAACACAUUGCCAAGAAGCAAUUCAAUUGUUGAGGAUAUCACAUCAUGCCAGGGAAAGAGAGAUGGAAUUCAGAAAGCCUGGGAUAUUGCAGGUUUAUCCUGACAGUAACCUCUCCCCAGGUCGGAAGACCUCUCAGGCUCUGUUUCUAGGGAGGCUGACCUGCUGACAAUGCUCCUAGCUGGAUUUUGUAAGCGGUCUUGAAUAAAGUCUUCCUCACUGUUUUAACAAGAGACAAGGUAAUGUUCAUUGAACAUCUUAUACAAAGAGGAAACCUGGCACAGAAGUGGACAUGCACUCGGAGGGAAAAUGCCAAGUGACAAUGAAGGCAGAGAUCAGGUGAUGCAUCUGCAAGCUGAGCAACAUCAGGAAUUGCCAAAAACCACCAGGAGCUGGAGAGGCCUGGGACAGAGCCUCCCACGGAGCCUCAAGGGAGCCAGCCCUGCCCACGCCUUGAUCUUUGACGUCCGACCUCAAGAACUAUGAAAGAACCCAUUUCUGUUGGUGAAGGCUCCCCGUCUGUGGUCCCCUGUCCUGGCAGCCCUAGGAACCUGACCUCUGGUCCCUCUGCAUCCCUGGCAUCACUCUGCCUCCCUCUCUUUUUCUCCAGUGAAUCCAACACACUCUCAGUGAGACAGCCAGGUGGCAAGGGGUUCUCGGAGAAACUCCAGCCGGCCUGCUCGCUGGGCAUGUACACUGGAGUGGAGCCACAGAAGUUCACGGUGUUUGCAGCAGGGAGGAGCCUGGCCACUCCUCUUCCUGGUUGGAACCUGGAAUUUAUUUUGUGAGGCGGGAAGCCUAUACUGGGGAGACUCUUGCUCUGCUGAGUCCCCAUUCCCCCUUUAUUUUCCUUUUUGCCCAAUAAAUCCUAUUAUUCUCAGUCUUCAAA